rnacentral:piRNA from 1 species
UAACAACUUCACCGUUUUUUU